rnacentral:tRNA from 1 species
ACCAGGAUGGCUGAGUGGUUAAGGCGUUGGACUUAAGAUCCAACAGACUAAUGUCCUCGAGGGUUUGAACCCCACUCCUGGUA